rnacentral:rRNA from 1 species
GACGAACGCUGGCGGCGUGCUUAAUACAUGCAAGUCGAACGGAAAGGCCCUGCUUUUGUGGGGUGCUCGUGUGCCGAACGGGUGAGUAACACGUGAGUAACAUGCCCUUGCCUUUGGGAUAACUUCAGGAAAAUGGGGCUAAUACAGGAUAGGAGCUCCUGCUGCAUGUUGGGGGUAGGAAAGUUUCGGCGGUUGGGGAUGGGCUCGCGGCUUAUCAGCUUGUUGGUGGGGUAGUGGCUUACCAAGGCUUUGACGGGUAGCCGGCCUGGGAGGGUUACCGGCCACAUUGGUACUGAGAUACGGCCCAGACGCCUACGGGAGGCAGCAGUCGGGAAUAUUGCACAAUGGGCGGAAGCCUGAUGCAGCAACGCCGCGUGCGGGAUGACGGCCUUCGGGUUGUAAACCGCUGUCGCCUGUGACGAAGCGUGAGUGACGGUAAUGGGUAAAGAAGCACCGGCUAACUACGUG